ACGGCAAGCUGUGGUAUAGACGAGUGUCCGUGCGGUAAAUAAUUAUUGUUCUUUUACCUACGUCAAACGAACAAGAACUUACUUCUCCAACAUUCAACCUUACCUCUUCUAACACUAGAACAUGCCGUAGAAAAAUUAAUGUUGAUAUCGGUGAUGCUAUUUAUAAACUUCCAUUUAAGCACGGUUGGAAUUAAGAAUUAACUUACAGAAAAUCUACUAUUAAUAAAAUUUGUGACGUGUACUAUCAUUCUCCAACUAACAAAAAAGUUAGAACUUUUUGAGAAAUUCAGGGACAAUUGGACAUCUUAUCUGAUAAAGAUCUAACCAUAGAAAAUUUUACAUUUUUACCACAACCAAUUGGCAUGAAUGAUCGAUCUAAAGAAUUUUCCAGAGAUACAUAUUCUAAAUUAUCUAAAAAUGACUUUGUAGGUGUUGCUGUUAGACCUAAAAAAUCUAAGACACCUGUACAGCGGCCACCAUUUGAAUAUGAAUUGUCAGAUGAUGAAAACAACAAGUCUUCGAGUAAAAUGAAAAUUGUUUUUAAAAAUGCUAAGAGCGCCUCUAGAUUGAGAUCU